rnacentral:rRNA from 1 species
AAGAGCUCGUAGGCGGUUUGUCGCGUCUGCCGUGAAAGUCCGGGGCUCAACUCCGGAUCUGCGGUGGGUACGGGCAGACUAGAGUGAUGUAGGGGAGACUGGAAUUCCUGGUGUAGCGGUGAAAUGCGCAGAUAUCAGGAGGAACACCGAUGGCGAAGGCAGGUCUCUGGGCAUUAACUGACGCUGAGGAGCGAAAGCAUGGGGAGCGAACAGGAUUAGAUACCCUGGUAGUCCAUGCCGUAAACGUUGGGCACUAGGUGUGGGGGACAUUCCACGUUUUCCGCGCCGUAGCUAACGCAUUAAGUGCCCCGCCUGGGGAGUACGGCCGCAAGGCUAAAACUCAAAGGAAUUGACGGGGGCCCGCACAAGCGGCGGAGCAUGCGGAUUAAUUCGAUGCAACGCGAAGAACCUUACCAAGGCUUGACAUGAACCGGUAAUACCUGGAGACAGGUGCCCCGCUUGCGGUCGGUUUACAGGUGGUGCAUGGUUGUCGUCAGCUCGUGUCGUGAGAUGUUGGGUUAAGUCCCGCAACGAGCGCAACCCUCGUUCUAUGUUGCCAGCACGUGAUGGUGGGGACUCAUAGGAGACUGCCGGGGUCAACUCGGAGGAAGGUGGGGACGACGUCAAAUCAUCAUGCCCCUUAUGUCUUGGGCUUCACGCAUGCUACAAUGGCCGGUACAAAGGGUUGCGAUACUGUGAGGUGGAGCUAAUCCCAAAAAGCCGGUCUCAGUUCGGAUUGGGGUCUGCAACUCGACCCCAUGAAGUCGGAGUCGCUAGUAAUCGCAGAUCAGCAACGCUGCGGUGAAUACGUUCCCGGGCCUUGUACACACCGCCCGUCAAGUCACGAAAGUUGGUAACACCCGAAGCCGGUGGCCUAACCCCUUGUGGGA